CGACGGCACCGCUCAGAAAUUCUACGGCGACGUCGACGCAUACAAGUCGCUCAUUGUGAGCGGGAACAAGACGAUGCGGCCGACGCAGGUUUGACCGGGCGAUUUUUCGUAGAUACUCGCUCUUGCAACGCCUUCUCUCGUUCCU
rnacentral:misc_RNA from 1 species